rnacentral:rRNA from 1 species
CCCUUAGAUGUCCGGGGCCGCACGCGCGCUACACUGAAGGAAUCAGCGUGGCUUUCUCCCUGACCCGAAAGGGUUGGGAAACCCGUUGAAUCUCCUUCGUGAUAGGGAUUGGGGCUUGAAAUUAUUCUCCAUGAACGAGGAAUUCCUAGUAAACGCGAGUCAUCAGCUCGCAUUGAUUACGUCCCUGCCCUUUGUACACACCGCCCGUCGCACCUACCGAUUGAAUGGUCCGGUGAAAUCUUCGGACCGCGCAACGCCGCAAGGUGAUGCGUGGAAAGUUGCUUAAACCUUACCAUUUAGAGGAAGGUGAAGUCGUAACA